AUUGAACGCUGGCGGCAGGCCUAACACAUGCAAGUCGAACGAGUGGCGGACGGGUGAGUAAUGUCUGGGAAACUGCCCGAUGGAGGGGGUUAACUACUGGACACGGUAGCUAAUACCGCAUACCAUCGAAUGUGCCCAGAUGGGAUUAGCUGGUAGGUGGGGUACCGGCUCACCGCGGCGACGAUCCAUAGCUGGUCUGAGAGGAUGACCAGCCACACUGGAACUGAGACACGGUCCAGACUCCUACGGGAGGCAGCAGUGGGGAAUAGUGCACAAUGGGCGCAAGCCUGAUGCAGCCAUGCCGCGUGUAUGAAGAAGGCCUUCGGGUUGUAAAGUACUUUCAGCGAGGAGGCGUUACUCGCAGAAGAAGCACCGGCUAACUCCGUGCCAGCAGCCGCGGUAAUUC
rnacentral:rRNA from 1 species